GCCACACAGGUUCCCGUAUGAUCACUGUAGUUAAGCAACAUCGAGCCUGGUCAGUACCUAGAUGGGUGACUGUUUAGGAAUACCAGGUGCU